rnacentral:rRNA from 1 species
CACGUAGGGACCGAGCGUUGUCCGGAUUCAUUGGGCGUAAAGAGCUCGUAGGCGGUCGGGUAAGUCGGGUGUGAAAUCUCCGGGCUCAACUCGGAGGGGCCACCCGAUACUGCACGACUCGAGUCCGGUAGGGGAGUGGGGAAUUCCUGGUGUAGCGGUGAAAUGCGCAGAUAUCAGGAGGAACACCGGUGGCGAAGGCGGAUCUCUGGGCCAUUACUGACGCUGAGGAGCGAAAGCGUGGGGAGCGAACAGG